rnacentral:lncRNA from 1 species
GGAGUCGGUGCACACGUUCUGUUUAGUCUAGGGGAGUCGAGGGACACAGCCGUUUGUUUAGUCUAGGGAGUCGAGGGACACCUUUCUGUUUAGUCUAGGGGAGUCGAGGGACCAGCGUUUCUGAGUUAGGGGAGUGUGAGGGACAUCUGAGUUGAGGGGACACUGCUUUCUGUUUAGUCUAGGGGAGUUGAGGACACAGCUUUCUGUUUAGUCUAGGGGAGUCGAGGGACACAGCGUUCUGUUUAGUCUAGGGGAGUCGAGGGACACAGCGUUCUGUUUAGUCUAGGGGAGUCGAGGGACACAGCGUUCUGUUUAGUCUAGGGGAGUCGAGGGACACAGCUUUCUGUUUAGUCUAGGGGAGUCGAGGGACACAGCUUUCUGUUUAGUCUAGGGGGGUCGA